GCAAACUUGGUCAUUUAGAGGAAGUAAAAGUCGUAACAAGGUUUCCGUAGGUGAACCUGCGGAAGGAUCAUUAACGAAUAUACAGGAAUUCGAUUAUAAAAGAAUCGUUUUUGGUUUUUUUGUAUGAGAAUUCCCAUUAUGACAAUUAAUGUUAUAUCCACCCUUUUCAAUGUGAAAUUUGUUUGAAAUGUAGUUAUGACUUUCUGGUUGGGUGUUUUGGACUUUUGAAGUUUGAAACGAUAAAUUGCCUGCCAGGAGGUUUUUUUCUAUCUAAACCAAUGCUAAAUGAAUUGUUGAAUUAGAUGAAUCAUUUUUAAUAAUGAACAAACUUAAUACAACUUGCAACAAUGGAUCUCUAGGCUCUUGCAUCGAUGAAGAACGCAGC
rnacentral:misc_RNA from 1 species